GGCCUUGUGGCCCAAAGGAUAAGGCGCCUGAUUACGAUUCAGGAGAUUCCCAUGUGCAAGUCGUGGUGUCCUUUCUAUGACGUAAAGUAUAUUUUUUCAGGUUCAAGACCUGGCAGGGUCG
rnacentral:tRNA from 1 species